ensembl:misc_RNA Metazoa_SRP Metazoan signal recognition particle RNA
GCCGGGUGUGGUGGCCGGCGCCUGUAGUCCCAGCUACUCAGGAGGCUGAGGCAGGAGAAUGGCAUGAAUCCGGGAGGGGGAGCUUGCAGUAAGCCGAGAUCGUGCCACUGCACUCCAGCCUGGGUGACUGAGUAAGACUCCGUCUCAACUUUUUUUUUUUUGAGACAGAGUCUCAGACUGUCGCCCAGGCUGGAGUGCAAUGGCGAGAUCUCAGCUCACUGCAACCUCCGCCUCCCGCAUUCAAGUGAUUCUUCUGCCUCAG